UUUUUCUCUUUUUUGCUGUUGAAAAGUAAAUUGAAGCUUUGUACGAUGGGUGGGUUUUUUAGGAAGGUUUUUAUGAGUUCUUGAGAAUAAUCUAAAAUUUUAACUUGAAGUACUAAAUUUUAAUAUGAUUCCAGCGAGAUUAAUUGACGGGUUUCAAUUUUUUAUUCUAAGUUUUUAGUUUGCACUAAAUAUGUUUCCAUCCAGAAUCAUUUCAAAUCCAAAUUUCCAUCUGUUUCUUUUUUUCUUUUUCUUACUUACUCUUCGAUUUCGUUCUUUCAAAUCCACAGCAGUUAUGUUACUCAAUGAGGUGAACAAAGGGGGAAAAUGAUGGUUGGGUGGUGGAGAAUGAGGUAAGGAUGGGAAGAGUUUU
rnacentral:lncRNA from 1 species